rnacentral:rRNA from 1 species
AUGGAAAAUGGAUUUCCUGGCGAAGUUCUGAAGGCUGUUUUUCCUCUACUGGAUGGUAAAGACUUAGUCUUUUGCAUGCUUGUAUGCCGCCAAUGGUGCGAAAUUGCAAAGGAUGAUUACUUCUGGAAAUGCAUCUGCUCACGGAAAUGGCCUUCCAUCUGCAAGCAGCCUCCUUCUGACACAAACUUCCAAAAGCUCUAUUUAACGUUCUCCAAGCCACGGAAGACGGUGCACCUUCCUGUACCUAAGCUCACUUUUGAGGAUCUGGUGUUUUACAUUGACAUGUGGCUUGAGGGAUCACUAAUCUUCUCUCAAGCAGUUUCAGGCUGCAUUCUUCGAGCAGGUUUACAGAACACACCUGGCGGCAUACCAGAUGUACUUGUUGCACAUCUGAAUGCCGCAGACUGCAUUUUGAUGAUGGAAGUCAAACCCAAGCUGACAGUCCCUAUGGGGCCAGCCAUCACCGUGUCUGUUCUUGCCCACCGCAAGGACACCAACAAGAUGACUUGCAUAAUCAAUACGUCGAGUUUUGAUUACAUUGACAGCAAUGCAGCACGGGCAUUGGCAUAUGAAUAUCUCAGGUUUUCACCCAGACACCCUUUCAUAUCAGACAUCCGGGCUUGGAUGUCGUUGCUUUUCCUGUAUAAAGGAACAAACUCUAUAGAGGUAUUUGGUAUUGAACUAGAUUUUUGUGAUGCGGCAAGGUCCGAGCCUGAGAUCUUGUGGCUCUUAGACAUGCUUGAUUGGAAAUAG